UAGUUGGUAAGGUAACGGCUUACCAAGGCGACGAUCAGUAGCCGACCUGCGAGGGUGAUCGGCCACAUUGGAACUGAGACACGGUCCAAACUCCUACGGGAGGCAGCAGGGGGGAAUAUUGCACAAUGGGCGAAAGCCUGAUGCAGCAACGCUGUGAAUGGAGCGAAAGCGUUCGGGUCGGCAACACCGGACGCAGAGCAAGAUGAGGACG
rnacentral:rRNA from 1 species